ACUCCUACGGGAGGCAGCAGUGAGGAAUUUUGCGCAAUGGGCGAAAGCCUGACGCAGCGACGCCGCGUGGAGGAUGAAGUCUUUCGAGAUGUAAACUUCUGUCAGUAGGGAUGAUAAUGACAGUACCUACAGAGGAAGCACCGGCUAACUCCGUGCCAGCAGCCGCGGUAAUACGGGAGGGGUGCAAGCGUUGUUCGGAAUUACUGGGGCGUAAAGCGUACGUAGGCGGCGAGUUAAGUCGAAUGUUAAAGCCCGGGGCUCAACCCCGUGGAUGCCUUCGAUACUGGCUUGCUAGAGGGUGAUAGAGGAAAGUGGAAUUCCGAGUGUAGCGGUGAAAUGCGUAGAUAUUCGGAGGAACAUCAGUAGCGAAGGCGACUUUCUGGGUCACACCUGACGCUGAGGUACGAAAGCGUGGGUAGCAAACAGGAUUAGAUACCCUGGUAGGAUAGCG
rnacentral:rRNA from 1 species